UCUAAACAUCCCUCGUUCCCAUCCCUCUUUCAUCCUUUUAUUUAGCUGCUUUCCUCCAAAAUACUUAGGACCGAUGUUGUAAAUUUGUUUAAACAUUGUCUUCCCCACUGGAAUGGGAGGGCACAAGUGCAUGGGCUUGCUUUGUUGGCUGCUGAAUUACUGCACCCAGCAGCACACCAGGCACAGGGUGGGUACUCAAAUAUUGGUUGGAACAAAUCAUUGCUUUUAACCUGAGGGCUGCUCCUCCCUCCCUUCUUCUGUUUCUCCCCAAACACCCAGGACAGUGGCCCCUGCUCAUGCUCUGCUCGUGAUGAGGGCUUGUUAAAUUAAAUUGACAUGUUCAACUUUUCAAAUCCCCAUUUACCCUUCCCCACCCAAAAAAACCCAACAUGGCCAGGCACGGUGGCUCACGCCUGUAAUCCCAGCACUUUGGGAGGCCGAGGUGGGCGGAUCACCUGAGGUCAGGAGUUUGAGACCAGUCUGGCCAAUGUGCUGAAACCCCGUCUCUACUAAAAAUAUUUUUAAAAAUUAGCCAGGUGUGGUGGCGGGCACCUGUAAUUGCAACUACCUGGGAGGCUGAGGAAAGAGAAUUGUUUGAACUGGGGAGGCAGAGGUUGCAGUGAGCUGAGAUGGUGCCAUUGCACACCAGCAUGGGUGACAAGAGUCAAACUCCAUCUCAAAAAAAUAAUUAUAGGUUGGGCACGGUGGCUCAAGCCUGUAAUCCUAGCACUUUGGGAGGCUGAGGCGGGUGGAUCACAAGGUCAGGAGCUUGAGACCAGCCUGGCCAACACAGUGAAACCCCUCUCUACUAAAAAUAAAAUCAGCCAGGCGUGAUGGAUGCCUGUAAUCCCAGCUACUUGGGAGGCUGAGGCAGGAGAAUCGCUUGAACCCAGGAGGCAGAGGUUGCAGUGACCCGA
ensembl:lncRNA novel transcript